GAUGAACGCUGGCGGCGUGCUUAACACAUGCAAGUCGAACGGAAAUUCUCUUGCUUGCAGGGUUACUCGAGUUGCGAACGGGUGAGUAACACGUGGGUGAUCUGCCCUGCACUUCGGGAUAAGCCUGUGUAACUGGGUCUAAUACCUGAUAGGUCGCUGGUUUUGAUGCCUUUGUGGAAAGUUUUUCUGUGUUGGAUGAGCUCGCGGCCUAUCAGCUUGUUUGUGGGGUAAUGGCCUACCAAUGCGUCGACGGGUAGCCGGCCUGGGAAGGCGUACGGCCACAAUGGGACUAAGAGACGGCGCAGAAGGGUACGGGAGGCAGCAGUGGGGAGUAUUGCAGAAUGGGGGCAAGCGUGAUGCAGCGGAGCCGCGUGGGGGAAGACGGCCUGCGAGGGAUAAACGCAUAUCGCUAGGGAAGAAGUGCAAGUGACGGUACCUGGAGAAGAAGCACCGGCUAACUACGUG
rnacentral:rRNA from 1 species